ACUACGGGUGGCUGCAGUGGGGAAUAUUGGACAAUGGGCGAAAGCCUGAUCCAGCCAUGCCGCGUGUGUGAAGAAGGCCUUCGGGUUGUAAAGCACUUUCAGUGGGGAAGAAAGCCUUGGGGCUAAUACCCUCGAGGAAGGACAUCACCCACAGAAGAAGCACCGGCUAACUCCGUGCCAGCAGCCGCGGUAAUACGGAGGGUGCGGGCGUUAAUCGGAAUUACUGGGCGUAAAGCGCGCGUAGGCGGUCUGAUAAGCCGGUUGUGAAAGCCCCGGGCUCAACCUGGGAACGGCAUCCGGAACUGUCAGGCUAGAGUGCAGGAGAGGAAGGUAGAAUUCCCGGUGUAGCGGUGAAAUGCGUAGAGAUCGGGAGGAAUACCAGUGGCGAAGGCGGCCUUCUGGACUGACACUGACGCUGAGGUGCGAAAGCGUGGGUAGCAAACAGGAUUAGAUACCCGAGUAGUC
rnacentral:rRNA from 1 species